UAACCAAGCGAGUGGGUUGAGCUCAUUCUCGUUUCGGUUCUCUAACAGCAAACAUCUAUUUGGAAGACUACCAAAUUUCUGGGACUGAAAAUCCUACUUCCGUAAUCAGGCUAAUAGAAUAAAAUGUGCAAUCCAGGAAUGUGUUCAAUGCCCGGCACUUGCUGUGGACCGACUGGCGGACUGGGACCAUGUUUGCUCUGCGGACCCUAUAAUGGCCAGUGGUUCCGCUCGAUCAAUCACUGCUGUGGUCCUUGUGGACCAUAUGGAUGCUGCUCGUGCUACGGGCCCCAUGGAGGACAUUGUUAGCCUGCUUAGAAGGAAUGUAGGGUUUCUUUAUCCGUGAUCUGGAACAAGAGCUUGAGGGAGUACAACCACGAAGAGGCAUUCUACAGAGAUGUCAAGCGAGGUGGAUCCGAAAAUUUGUGUUUAAUGAAAUAUGGUUGGGAUAUUGUCUAUGGACUCCCAAGAUUAUUCCAUCAGCAAUAGAUGUUAAUAAAUUAUUCGUAUAUUUCAAAAGUG
rnacentral:sRNA from 1 species